rnacentral:rRNA from 1 species
GACGAACGCUGGCGGCGUGCUUAACACAUGCAAGUCGAACGAAGACGACCGAGCUUGCUCGGUCUGAUUAUUGGCGAACGGGUGAGUAACACGUGAGCAACCUGCCCUUCACUCUGGGAUAACCCCGGGAAAUAGGGGCUAAUACCGGAUAUGAGCUCCUGUAGCAUGGGGGGGGUUGGAAAGUUUUGCGGUUGAGGAUGGGCUCGCGGCUUUUCAGUUUGUUGGUGCGGGAGUGGAUCACCAAGGCGGUGACGGGUAGCCGGCCUUAGAGGGGGACCGGCCACACUGGGACUGAGACACGGCCCAGACUCCUACGGGAGGCAGCAGUGGGGAAUAUUGCACAAUGGGCGCAAGCCUGAUGCAGCGACGCCGCGUGCGGGAUGACGGCCUUCGGGUUGUAAACCUCUUUCAGCAGGGAAGAAGCGAAAGUGACGGUACCUGCAGAAGAAGCGCCGGCUAACUACGUG